UCUGUGAUUGCUUCAGAUUUGUAAUGUUUGGAAACUUAAAACUGCAGACAUUAAUACACCCGUUAAAUUAAACUAGUUUAAAUACUGCAACUAUGCGCGUCUUCAGAGAAAAACUGGUUCCAUACAAGACAGGAUUUAUGGUCAGAUCAAAGCAUCAAUUCGAGGACUAGCCGAUAAACCCUUUUGAUGAAUAUUAUGCUAAUUAAAUAUCAAAGUCCAAUACACACCACCAUAUGGUAUUUAGUGCAUUACAUAGAAAUAGGUCUCCAUAAGCACGUGGCUUACUAGCCAAGAGGUCAAAAGUAAACAGACAUGAAUUCAUAGAGAGCGGAUGAUGGAUGUCUGAAGCAAGUGCUUGGAAGCAAGUUGGCUUUUCGAAGUUGUCCUCCGAGCAAUAAUAAUACACACAGAGGCUGGGAACACUGGGAAACACAACUUCAUUUUUUCACAAAGAAAGCUUGCAACAGUUUUCUGUCUGUGAAACCAGCCACACGUGCCUGGUCAAGGCUACCUCAAUGUUGCUCCCACAAGGAAAGGGAAGACCUUACAGGGGAGUGAAGGACUACAGUAUUGUGGAGCUACUGAAGUCCCUUUGAGGCAAAUUAUCCAGGUAUGUUUCAUGAGUGAGAUUUUCCUCCCCCCUGGGUGAAACAACUAAAACCGUGCGCAACACUGUUGAUAGACGUGGGUGCUAUCUGCUGCCUGACAACACUGUAAAGCCAGCUCUCCGUUUGGGCUUGGCACUGACGCCAGUGUCCUAUAGCAGCAGCAGUGGGGUAAAAGCAGCAGCGAUAUGGCUCCAGCUAACUGGUUCAUAAUCGUCAUUCACAGCCUGAAGCCCUCAUAAGCCCCAGGCUUGAUACAACCAGCUCCUCUGCUCGGUGGUCACAGAACGAGGCCGGAGGAAUGUUAGCGCCGCACAUUAGCCUCUGUUGGAAUGUGAAAGAUAUGUCAUUAUCAUGAAAUGAGUCUGAAUUUCAGUUCUGGAGGUCAUUUCAUUCUGAGAGUAUGUUUGGUUGAUGGUUAAUUGUUGUUUCUUUUAGCCUGGAGCAUUGCACUGAUGGAAUAUUAUCUAGCAUAUGUUCAUUGACAUAAAUGAAAGAUGUGUGUUUUAUCAGCCUUGUAAUAUUUUUAAUAUUGUGUACAUUUACUUGAUUUUUUCAGUAAUAUGCCUUGAAAGAUAAGCUUGAUGUAUUGUUUUUUCUCAAAUGAACCCCUUGCAUUACAUUUAAAUGCUUGGAAACAUUAAUAUUUAACCUUUAACAUAAUGUAAAUGCAGUAACCCCUGUUAAAGCAAAGGGCUUGAAUUGAUGUUCAGUUCAAUGCCGUUAGCCAUACCCUUAUCACAUUGGUUGAAGCUGUGCUGGACUUAGCACACAUUCAACAAGAAUAAACUCAUUGGUGAAGUCUGAAUACAUUUUGUGGACUAUAAUAUGCUUUGACAUAUCUAACUAAUAGAAUAGAAUUCCAGAAAAUUGAUGAGUACGCAGUUAAACUAGAGUAAAAUCUAUCACUGUUGAUUUAGCACUGGGCAUUUUAUUGUGUACAUAUAGGGAUGGCUGAUUUGCUUGAAAUAAAGAGAAUUUCUGAUUGGUUAAUCUGCAUAGGGCAUCAGAUAUAAUGGGUUGAAUAGAAAUUAUGUCUUGAUUCAGUAAAUAUAUGUGUCCUUAGUUAUACUAUAUGCAGCAGAUGUGGCAUAUUAAGAGUUCUAUGUGGGGGUUAUUUACUACUCUAAUUCAAACAGACACAUUGGAACAAAGACACCAAAUUCCACCCUGGGGAGACUUACAGAUUGUAUAAAUAGAAUAAUUUUAAGCAUGGGAGAAAUUCUUUUUCACACAUUGUGCAAAAUAGGUCAUGUAGUGUUUUGAAGUUUCAAAAUGUCAGAAUGUUAGUUUUGCCUUUCUUUCAUCCUGGUUUAUCUACAAACUUUUGGUAUGACUCAGUGUCACUAACAUGUACAGCACAGAUUUUUAAAUCCUUUUAUUUCCUCCCUAAAUACUUGGAUUGACUUCCAAGGCUUUACACAAUCGCAUUUGACAUGAAAUGAUAUGCUUAUUAAGCUGAAAUACAAGCGACUUUACAUUGCAUCAGAAUAAACUGCUCAGGUCAUUAAAACUUUCUAAAUAGAUUACUUUGUUCAUAUGAGUGUAUUCAGAUAAAAUACUGAAGCUUUUACUGUUUGAUUAACUCUCCUUGAUCCUCAUCAUUCAUAAUUUUUGAAGAUUUUAAAUGUAUUUAUCUUUUGAGGACUGGGCUAACCAACCUCCAGUGUGUUAGGUUGCAUUUUAUGGAAUAUGUCAAACAAGUAGUUUUGCAAUUAGGCUUUAACUUGCAAGACAGACAACUUACUGAAUUACACUCUCUUUAAAUAAAAAUCUGCUCAUUUUCAUUAUGUUUUGUCACAGUGAUUAUUCUUACUUUCUCACCACUGAGAAAUCGAAACCGAGGUCUGCUACAUGUCCUUUGACUGUAAAGACUACAUGUGCAAUUGAACUGAAGUGACAAACAAAACAAAGCUGGGCAAUAAAGAAACUGUUCUAACAUUUUUGAAUACUCAGUCAGACACACUGGCAAUGCCAGACAAUGUUGGAACCAACAUGGUUAUAGUACUGUGAGCAAAUGCAUUUUGCAUUAAAACCAAGACGAUUAAUUGUUUUAUGCCUGUUUUAUAAGUGACCCUGGGGUAUCAGCCUGUAAAGUGACAACACUUUUUACUUGUUUUAACAGAAAUAUUACUGUAUUACAAACAGCCCUUGGCUGUGGGUGCUGUAUACAGCAUAUUAUGAUAUAAUUUACUAUAGCUAUUGUGUUAAUUCUUAAGGGCUACUGAAAUAUUACAGCAAUCGAUCUUUGCUGUAAUCCAAAAUACAGCAAUGCUCCUUAGUACAAAAAACUGUAGCUAUAAGCUCCUGACGCCACCUAACUGUGAAGCCAUCUUUAGUGCAGUGGUUGUCUCUCCCCCUGGAGAGCCAAGUUUAAACCUUGCAGGAUCCUUGCUGUUACACUGUUGUCAGCAGUCGCAUGUGAGUGUGGAAGAGAGUAGCGCAAAAUUGCAGUUUGCCUGAGGUGUGCCUAAGCCACUUUGCUAAAGGUGAAUUCAUUAAAUUUGUAAUCUAACAAUUCACAUGUGGUUAAAGUGUACGUUUUUUAUUUAUAAGGGUAUUUUGUAUACAUUUUGGUUUCAAAAAUGCACUUUUUCUACAUAGUCCCCCAAUUCAGGGCACCAUAAUGUUUGGGGCAUUACCAUUACUAAACAGGUGUUUAUGAUAUGUCAGGUGUGUUCAGUUGCUGCCAUGCAGGUAUAAGAGAGCUCUCAGUUUGUAGCACGGCCGGCGGUGGCCAUGGGCAGGGGUGGGCUCAGCCCACCCAAAUGUGCGUCUUGCCCACCCAAUCAAAAGUUAAGAGUUAUGGUGGGGGGUUUUAUGGUUUGGCCAUGUUGCCACAGGUACUAUCUCACUUGUUAUACAUUGAUGAUGUGACUGCUGAUGGCAGCAGCAGAAUUAAUUUCAAAGUGUACAUAUUUUUUGUAGUUCAAACAUAUUCAUCCAAACUAUAUUGGACAGCACUUCAUCCUACAGCAAGACAAUGAUCCCGAACAUACUGCUGAAGCAACAAAGGAGUUCUUCAAAGCCCAAAUCCGGAAUAUUCUUGAUUGGCUGAGUCAUUCACUCGAUCUGAAUCCAACUGAACAUGCGUUUCUUAUGCUGAAGAUAAAAGUUAAAACAAGAGCUGCAGUACAUGCCUGGCAAAGCAUCACCAGAGAAAAUAUUCAGCACAUAGUAAUGCCUGUGGGUUACAGAAUUAAGGCAGUCAUUGCAUGCAAAGGAUAUACCAAAAAGCACUGAACAUGACUACUUUCGUAUGUUUCACAUAACAUUAAUAUGUCCCAAACAUUAUGGUGCCCUGAAGUUAUUUCUGAAUUUUGUGCGUUUACAUGAGGUCAGAAUGUACAGAUCUCAAUGUAAUGGGGCUGAGAGUCUAUGGUCAUUGUGGUUAUUUUUUGUAGGAAACCCUAAAAAGUGCCAGACUCUUUGUGCUGUGCAGGUAUGGGGCAUAACUUAAUGGAUGGCAUACCUGCCAUCUCAAUUCAAUAUUCAAUAAAAUUGCCAUUAAUACAUUUAAGGCGUAAAGUGUAAAGCAAAGUGUACUUUUUCUCGACAUUCCGGUCACACAAUGUGUUAGUCAAAUUGAUACAACUAUGGAUUGAAAGUGGUUACAGACAAUAUUGUUUUAAUCUAAUACUUUCUGUAAACACAAAUGAUUAAUCCUAAUUCUUGUUAAAGGCAACAGUAGGUAAGAGAAGGGCUCAGCCUUUUAUUUGCAACGUUUAAUAACCUGGUUUUCCAUUAUUGAAAACAGUGUACACUCUGAAUUAUUAUUGUGUGUGCGGUGAUGACCUUUUAAUCUGUCACAUUAUUCAUUUGCAAAGGGUGCUGAGAACUCUGAUGUUUUAUUAUUCGAAAUGCAGUAUGAAAAGAUAUGAAAUCAAUGGCAUGUAUAACACCUUGCAUAAUGUAAUCCUAAAUGCACAAAGACAA